GUGUGAACCAUUUGAGGUGUCACAUUUAGGACACUAGGCUGUUGAGCUCCAUGGAAUCAAGCACCAAUAAAGAGGUAUGUAAUUCUACUAGUUUUUAUAUUAUAUGUACUUUAUAUUAUGCUAGUUAGAACAAUACCUUGGAAAAUUGCUAUUUGCAUGUAUAAUAGAGAAAACAUAGAUCCAAGGUAUUUAGGGUUGCAUGUACACCAUAGGAGUGUUAGAAUGCUCAAAACCCAACAGUGGUAUCAGAGCCUAGGCUUGUUUUCAAAUAUACAUGAUGCUAUUUGCAAGAAAAAUCGUUUUUUUUGGAAUCUGCCAGUUCACCACGAGGUGGUGACUGUUCAGUGAAAAAAAAAACAUUUUUUGGCCUGUUUUGGAUUAGAAUCAUUACCACAAAGUGUUUUUGGUCAUAAAACUUGAUUUUGAUGUUAUGAUAAUGUUUAUUCCCAUCCAAAUGAAUGAUAAUUGUCAAAGUUUCAAGACGUUUUUUUAGUUUAUGUGAUCGGCUAAGUUCUUGAAAAUUGUUGAUAUGAAUUAUCUUGUUCUUAUGAGUUGUUUUAGAUUAAUAGAAAACUUAUAUGAAAUUGUUGAUAUGGAUUGUUCAUGCUUAUGAGUUUUGGCAGAUCAUAGGAAUUAUUUACAAAAGGUGUUUGUUAGUUAAUUCUUGAUCUAAAUGUAUUUUAAUGGAGUCCAUAAUUUGUCCUCAAAUUAUGGAUUACCAAAAGUUUUUGUGUUACCUUGUUUAUGAGUUGAUUUAGAUUAAUAAAAAAAAUUAUGUGUUAGUUGUUUUCAAUCCAUAUUGAUCUAAAAGAAGUUCAUAAAAUAUGUUUUUGUAACUUGUCUUCAAGUUAUAUGAAAAGUCAUAUUUAUGAAUCUUAAAACUCAUAAUUAUUCCCAAAGGUUACACAAAAAUGAAGAGUCUAUUUCAUUAAAUUGUUUUAUGACUCCAUAACUUGUCCUCAAGUUAUGGAUGUUUAAGAGUCACUUCUUUAAAAGUGUUAUUAAAGAAUAAGAGGUUACAUUAAAAUGAAGAGUCUUCAUUUUAAUGAACCAUUAAACUCAUAAGUUAUGAAAUGAAAAGUCUUGAAUAGUUUCAAAACUUGCCCUCAAGUUUUGGAAUUUGUAAAGUUACCCCCUCAUGUACACUUUAAUUCCAAAUUGAACCUUAGAAUUUUAAAAAGUUUAAAAUUCAACACUUAUACUAUUCUUAUAAUUUUAAUUAUAUAGAUAUGUAUAAGAUAAAGUCAAACUUACCAUUAUUAGGUCUCAUUCACGAAGCCGGUCUAUAAGGGGGGUAUAAGGUUACUGCCAAUAAAAUGGCAGUUUAAUGGGUGACCACUCUCACCCACCGUGUCCUUGACUGGUGGAGGGUCAUUAGUCGAACGGGUAGGAAAGGACUAUAAUUCUCCCUUCAUUAAAAGUAUAAUGAUAAAUACUAAGUAACUAAACACUUAUAAAUUCCCAAUCUUAGUUACUUAGGAAAAUGUGAAAAGGUGCUAACCCAUGAAAUUACACUUUGUACCUUACCAAGUCGUUAGUAGAGUGUGUGUGGUUAACCGACACACUAAUAAGGACUAGUAAGAGUGGCAAAGGGUAACUUAAGUUUAUCAUAGAUCGGUGGAGCGUGUGUGGUUAAACGGCACAUCGAUUAGGUGAUAAAUAUUAAGGGUACCAAGUAUAUUUGCAUGGUUAUUCACACCUUGUUUGUGAUCCUCGGCAUCCCAGUCAGAAACUUGAGAGGGCACAAUCGAGAUUCAAACAUGCCAUUGAAAGUUCAAUGUAUCUCAAAAGAUCUAGGAGUUUCAAAUCUAAUUAAAACUUAAUUAUAUUUCAUUUUGAUGGUGGAAAUUGGUAAAUCGUCAUUUACCUACCUUCAACUAUUUUAUAACUUGGAUUACGACAUCCCUCUUCCAGUUAUAAAUAUGUUGUUGGGUCCUAGCCUUAAUAUUUCAUAUUGGGUGUCAUAUUAACGACUUUAAAUCAACUAAACUUGAAUUUCUCCCAUUAUAGAUGUCUUGUUAAGACAUCUAUGGUCUUUCCAAAUCCUUAGGAACAAGCUUCCUAAUGAAGAUGAUAUCCUAAAUGGCAAUCAAGGUGAAAGAUCAAUCCCUUAGUAGUGCAUGAAUGGGACUGGAAAUCAUGCUUCACUUCCUCCACCUACUCCAAUAAAUCUUCCUAUCCCACAAGUUUCAAGACUUGAUAAGUUCUAAGUCACUCAAUCCCCAUUGGAAAGCAAAGUAUAUAUGUGUUUACAUCUUAGAGGUUAAGUCACAUAUUGACAAGUCGAGAGAGUCAGGUGUCGAAGUCUCGAGGUAGUUGGCUAUUGACUUGGUUCUUUAGUCACUCCUUGAUGACAGAUCACGACAUGACCCUUAAUGAUCUUACCUAUUUGCUUAAUGAUGCUUAAUCAACAAUGAUUUGGAGAAUUAUUAAAGCAAAUUAGAUUGGAAGAUCUACUUCCUAAACCUAUUUGGACAUUGACAAUGGUGACAUUGGAAGUCCAGAAAACUUUCUCUUCCCAAUUGAAAGGGAUCGGCCAUGGUCAAGUCGUUUGACCUAAUGGUAAGGAGAAAGUCUAAAUCUGUGAUAGUCCCGUAUACCAUUUCAAAAGAGUCCAUAUAUUUCUUUUUCCAAUAAAAGGGACAUUGGUUGCGAAAUUGCCCAAUUAACCUGAAAUUUCAUAAGGAAGGUAAAGUCAAAAGGUUUGACUUUGCUUCUGGUAAACUCCAUUAUCUAACUCUAUUAAGUAUUUUUUUGAGAUUAUUAAUACAUAAUGUAAUCUAAUUACAUUUUGAUGUUUUAGAAAAUCAAAGGAAGCUUAAAGAAAGAGUAUGCUUAUUCUGAUCGCGAAAAUGGUUCGGUGAUCAGAAUUUUGAGCAACUGCUUAAGAGUUACGAUAGAUUGCUUAGGAAUAGAUAUCAACAUAGUUUUCAUAUGCAUUUUCAUGGAAAGGAUAAGAUUUUUCCGCAAGUUUUAAAAUAAAAAAAUGUUUUAUUUAUUUAUUUUAAGUAUCCUUACAAUGACAUUUGUGAAAAGAUUGUUGUUUAUAUGUUCCCAUUGAUAAGCAAUAUUGGUAAAUGGAUUGGAUUCUUUCAUUUGUGGUAUUGUCAUAAUUUACCAAAUAAGGAAAGAUUCUCAUCACCCAAGAUUCAAUUGGAUAGAAACUUGGAAUCAUGAAAGUUGUAUUGUGUGAUGAAUGUGAAUUUUCAUCUUUAGGAAAUUAAGACUAAGACCUUGUUCACAUGUAUGUGUGAGUCAAGUGAAGGACUAAAGGAUUGGGUACACUUAAUUGUGUGCUGGUCAGGUCCUCCACAAAGGUUGAUAAGAUUAUUCGUUAUGAUUUACUAAAGUUUAGUAAAUAUGGUUAUGCUUACAAGUUUAAGAGUAAUUCUGAAACAUUGGAAAAGUUUCAAUGUAUGACAGAAUGGAUAAGAAGAACCAAAUAAGGCAGGAAGAUAAAAGUUUCUCCAAUCUGAAGAGAUGGGAGAGUACUUAAGUAUCUUGUUUUAUGAUUAUCUUAGUGAUUAUGAAACCAUAUCACAAUUGAUCCUCUAAGGACACCUUAGUUCAUUUGUUUGGCUAAGGAGAGGAAUCAUGAAUGGUUGAAAUGGUUAAAUCAAAAGAUAAAUCAUACUUCGUUCCAAAUCAAAUCUUAGAGUAAUACUCCAAGAUUGAGCGUUAAGUGAUGUAAUCUUAAGAAACGUUUAAAACACUUGUCAAAUGUAGAGUAAAAUGUUUUCUUACUCUUGUACAUUUGAAGUGGGUAAGUUGUGAUGUUUUGGAUACAAUAAAGACCAACUACGGCUAAUUGUGUGAAGUGUUUGUCUUGAUUAGAAUCCACACUAUCUCUUAAAUAUUUGGAAAGAGAGUCUUAUAUGUCAAGAGGACAGUGGGAGUCUAAAAAAUCCUGAAAUAAUUUCAAGAACUAAUCAAGAGUAUUGUUAAUCACUAGCCCACGAGCUUCAGUCCAUAUGUGUUUGGAUUUGCCACUGACCUUGUCUUGUGAUUAUGGUUAUGAAAAAUUCACAUGGAUAGGAACUCUUACACCACAUAAAAUCUAAGUGUCAUAAGGUUUCUCUCCGAUUCAUGAAAAUGAUGGUGAGGAAACGCUUUCACUAAGUAGAUUUUAAGUAGAUAGAAAUUGUGAUAUUUGCCUUCUCAAAGUCGUUAGUGGAGCGUGUGUGGUUAACCGGCACACUAACAUGGACUUGUGAGAAAUGGCAAAGGUCUAAACAAUUGAGACUAUGAUUACGACAUCCCUUUUCAUAGUUCUGAAAUUGUUUAGACACACAUGUGAGCUAUCUAAGGAAAGGUGUAUGAUUUUGAUAAAGUUUUAUCAAAGCAUCUCGUAUCAGAAAUCUAAACUUUGGUAAGAAAGUCAAUAAAGUAUUGUUUUUUUUUUCUAGAAGUCCAGCUGAUUUCUGAGUAGAUGUCAAAGCUAGUGCGAGCAUAAGUGUUAUGCUAGUAAGAUAAUAAUCAUUAUGCUAGUGGGAGCAUGAUGAUUAUGUUGCAAGUUAGCAAUGUUAAUUAUAGAAAACAAAAGUUUCAAUUCACUUUGAAAAGUUGUUUUCCUAUAAAUAAGGGAGAGGAUUUUAUAAUUCAUUCCAAUUCUACAAGCUUAGAUUGAGAUUUUAAUCAAAUUUAGUCAAGGAUAUAUAUGAAUGUUAUGUUGGAAUGGUUCAACAUAAGGAAAUUCUAUAUAUGUUGUGUUCUCAAAAUUCGAUUAUGAUUAUGACAUACCUCUUCAUAGUUCGAAUUGUGAGAACAUGGCAAAUAAAAAUUUUAUAGCAUGAAUCAUGUCCCUUAUGUUUUGGGUAUAGGCUUGAUUACAUGUGCUAUAAUAUUUAUCCGUUUUAAAUUUUCCAAAUGCCUAGGACAUUAGGAAGGAAAAAGGAAUAGAACUGGAUACGACUAAAAUGAUUAAGCAAUUGUCGAGGACAAUCUGAGAUUUACCAAAGAGUGGUUGCUUAUGGACAAUUGGAAGUAUAUGGUUAGGACCAUAUUGACAUAUUCUAAAAAUAGGCAACUCUUGUUUAGAAGUAAUAGUCAAAAUGGUAAUGUGGAAUUGUUUCCAUAGGUGGAAGUUAUUCUUUGAAUUUGUGUAAGAUUAGAAAACUUAAUGCAAAGAAGGAUGUUCAAAGGAAUGUACUUUGAAUCUGAGACUUCAUUACCAUGGAGUUGCUUUCCAUUUGAAUACUCUGUAAUGUCUGUUGCCGAGUCUUUGUGACUUUUGUGCAUAGUCAUUACAAGGGGAUCAUUGCAUAUGAGUUUAGAAUCUAACAGAUUACAAUAAAUAACAAGAGUUUGGUAUUCUUACAUUUAAAAUAAGGAUUGGAAUUGUGAAACAAACAUCAUUAAAAUAUUGUCAAUUGAUCUAUUUCACAAAGAGAAGACCAUAUGUAAACAUAGUGUGCAUACUUGGAGUAUGGCAUAGCUAUUGUUUGGACGAACAUAGUAUGCAUGCUUGGUGCAUGGCAUGCCAAUUGUUUCAAUUCAAGUAUUAAGUUGAUAAAUUAAAACAAUGAAUAACGAGUAAUAUAUAUGGUGCUUAGAUAAAAGGGUUUUUAUUUACACUCAAGAGUUUGGGACCAUAUAGGAUUAAGUAUUAUUCUUGUGUUUCACUUUGCAUGUUUUGACUUCCAGAAUAACUAGGUCAUUCUUGCCGAAUGACUAAGUUAUUCAAACUCUCCACAGUCAAUCAUACUUUGGAAGUAGGUAUUGAUUUAAGACUGUCAUGAAUCUGGCUUGUAAGAUUUGUCUAAUGUGCAUUAGACAUAGCAAUGGUUGCUACAACAUUCGUGAGUGCUCAUAAGUUUUGAGUAUUGGAUUCAACCCACACUCAUUUGGAUUCACUUCAUGGAUUUUAUCACGAGUGAAUCAUGAGACGAUAAUAUCUUAUAUUCUUCAAACCUAGAGAUAUGAGUUGUUGACUAUGAGUUGGUUCUACAUUGAUUGCACGAAAACGCAUUGGUAACUUGACGUUAUAAAACGUGCCUUUGUGUAUGAUUCAACAAGUAGUCAGUACAAGCAUAUGAGUCGAAGUUUAUCCAUUCCUUUUACCCUUAAGGGGAUAAACGCAAUAUUUGUGGGCUCCUCGAUGAUUUAGUGAUGGCACCCCUAAGUGCUUGGCCAAGCCUGGACUGAUUUGAUUUGUUCAAUCAGUCGGUUGUCAUAAAUCGGAAAUCGGGAAACAAUAAAUGGACAGAGAGAAUGAUUAUAUUCCAUGUCUCAGUCCAUAUGAUAUCUAGAAUGGAGGAAUAUAUGAUCACUUAUUUAAUGGACGCAUCAUUCAUUUGUUCAGACUUCGGCAACAGCUUUUAAGAGCUACGAUUGCUGGUCAGGUUGUGAAGUUAUACUUGCAAUAAUAGUUAUUAGACUUCUCCAAGUAGGAGAUUGUUGGAUUAAUGUAUAAGUCCAUAACUAUAAUUGGUAAGUUAUACUUGCAAUAAUAGUUAUUAGACUUAUUCAAGUGGGAGAUUGUUGGACUAGUGUCUAAGUCCAUAACUAUAAUUGGUAUAUACUUGACCCGACCCGGCAUGGUCCAUUUGGGUUGCAUAGCGUCAGAACAUUUGGGUAGACCUUUUAAUGAGAAGAAGAUAUUUGUGACAUAUUAAUAUAUUAUAAGUUCUAAUAUAUUAAUAUGAAAUCAUAUUAUUUAAUUAGUAUUGAUGAAUAAUUAAUUUGGAAUUAAUUAACUGAUCAAAAACAGACUAAUUAAAUAUAUGGGGAUUGAUUGUGUAAAUCAUUGAUUCUUAUAUAUGUGGGCUUAUGAUCCAUGAUUCCUUAUGUUGGGUUUAACCCAUGUGGUGGCCCAUGGAUACUCCAUGGAGGUUAAAACCCAUGGAGCAUAAGGAAUGGGUAAAGUCAUAGGUUACAUGGUGUAACCCUAAUGUGUACACUAUAUAAAGACCCCAUUGGUUGGUGAAAUUGGCACUAGUGUAUACACAAGAGGGAAAGCCAAUUUCUAUGCACUCAUAUCUUCUCUCAUGGUUAUUCCAAGUUGUUCAUGGUGUUGUGUGAACCAUUUGAGGUGUCACAUUUGGGGCACUAGGCUCUUGAGCUCCAUGGAAUCAAGCACCAAUAAAGAGGUAUGUAAUUCUACUAGUUUUUAUAUUAUAUGUACUUUAUAUUAUGCUAGUUAGAACAAUACCUUGGAAAAUUGAUAUUUGCAUGUAUAAUAGAGAAAACAUAGAUCCAAUGUAUUUAGGGUUGCAUGUACACCAUAGGAGUGUUAGAAUGCUCAAAACCCAACGGUUUCAUCACUUUCCCUUAUUAGGGUUUAAGAAUUCUGAACAUAC
rnacentral:lncRNA from 1 species